UGCUUUGAAGUAAAGAAAAACCUGUAGAAGUCAGUUGCUGUUGAUGAAGGCAGAGAGCUGGUGAACUUUUUCAUGCACGCUUUUGUAACCCAUUGAUGCCUUUGCAAUUUCUUUCCUGCUGCCCUUUGUGAAUGGAUGCCCUCAAUUGCAAUUGGGUUGUUUUGCUGUCUAUAGGAUGUAAUGUAUUGGCACCCUGUCUGGAGUGGCCACAUCUGGAGUAAUGGGACAACACUUUCCUGCCCAGUCAUUGGUGGGCCUCUCUGCUGAAACUGUCAACUGGAUUGAUAUGUGUGACCGCCUUACUUUGAAUACCUACUCACGCGCUGCCUUAGCAUGGGUGCCUGGUGAUGGGCAUGGUGAGGCUUUGUGAGACCACUGAAAGGGACCUCAAUCACCCCAGAGAAGACCCCUGAACUCAUCUGCCAUGACUUUGAGUUUAUUUUCAGUGGAGGGGUCUCCUGUUGAAGGUCCUUCAGGGUCAGUCGCUCCUCCCAAUGGAUAUUUGUGGGACUCCACCUCCCCUACACCCCUUCCUUAUUCCAACCUCCAGCGGGCCACCUGAUCUUAAUAUGGCUGUCCCUCCAGUCUAGAUGAUCUUUGCUCUUCAUGCCCUCUCUGUGACCAGUUAUUGUCCUCGUUUCCUUAGCAGGCUAUGGGUCUGCUGUGUUCACCUCCCUCAGUUAUCUCUCUUGUUGUCACCGGCUACUUGCCGAGUCUCAUGAGCACCCCCUGUGUUAGGGUGUAAGUCAGAUCCCCUCAAGGUGGACCUAACCACUGAAUAACAGAAAAAGACAAAAUAUAAAAAGCAACAAAAAGAACUAUACACAGGCAAGAGGCAACUAAAGAGAAAAAAGGACUUAAAGAAAAAAAGAGGGUGGAUAGGAAAGGAGAGAUCAGGCUAAUCUGCUCCUGUUCUCUGCCCUAGAGCCUGAGCCAGAAGGCAUCCCCAGGUGCUGCUCUUCUCUCUGUCUUCCUCGAGAGUGUCUUCUGUUCCUCCCCAAGUUAGCCUCUCUCCUCUACUCUGGAUCUGUGGGAAUCCAGAGUGGAGGGCUUCCACCAUCUCCAGGGCUCCUAUUGCUCCUUCAGGAGUGAGGUCUUCCCCUGAAUGCUGGUGCUGCCCAUGACCGGUGUGGGGUUGUACUUUAACUGCUGCCACUUGGGAUGCCUAUCACCAAGUGGGAUCUGC